CUGGAACUUAAAACUACACUGUGUAGGAUUUAGAGGUGUUUAUUAGCAGAAAUGGAAUGUAACAUUUAUAACCAUCUGUUCAGUAGUGUAUAAUUUACCUGCAACAACGAACUGAUGUGUUUUCAUAAUCUUAGAAUGAGCCAUUCAUAUCUACAUUCUGUCACGCCAUAUUGAUGCAGU